GAUCCUGGCUUAGGAUGAACGCUAGCGACAGGCUAACACAUGCAAGUCGAGGGGCAGCACGGGAGUAGCAAUACAACUGGUGGCGACCGGCGCACGGGUGAGUAACGCGUAUGCAACCUACCUAUCAGAGGGGAAUAACCCGGCGAAAGUCGGACUAAUACCGCAUAAAACAGGGGCACCGCAUGGUGAUAUUUGUUAAAGAAAUUCGCUGAUAGAUGGGCAUGCGUUCCAUUAGGUAGUUGGUGAGGUAACGGCUCACCAAGCCGACGAUGGAUAGGGGAACUGAGAGGUUGGUCCCCCACACUGGUACUGAGACACGGACCAGACUCCUACGGGAGGCAGCAGUGAGGAAUAUUGGUCAAUGGGCGAGAGCCUGAACCAGCCAAGUCGCGUGAAGGAAGAAGGAUCUAUGGUUCGUAAACUUCUUUUGCAGGGGAAUAAAGUGCGGGACGUGUCCUGUUUUGUAUGUACCCUGAGAAUAAGGAUCGGCUAACUCCGUGCCAGCCGCCGC
rnacentral:rRNA from 1 species